rnacentral:misc_RNA from 1 species
GAUGAAGAACGCAGCGAAACGCGAUAUGUAAUGUGAAUUGCAGAAUUCAGUGAAUCAUCGAAUCUUUGAACGCACAUGGCGCCUUCCAGUAUCCUGGGAGGCAUGCCUGUCCGAGCGUCAUUUCAACCCUCGAGCCCCCGUGGCCCGGCGUUGGGGAUCUGCCCAGGCAGUCCCCGAAAACCAGUGGCGGACCCGUUACAGGCCCUUCCCUUGCGUAGUAGCAUUCGCCUCGCAUCGGGAGCCGGCGGGCUUCCAGCCUCUAAACCCCCAUCAAGUCCGCCCCGGCGGCACCAAGGUUGACCUCGGAUCAGGUAGGAAUACCCGCUGAACUUAAGCAUAUCAAUAAGCGGAGGA